rnacentral:sRNA from 1 species
AAAAAAGAAUAGAGAUAAAU